UACGUAGGGUGCAAGCGUUGUCCGGAAUUAUUGGCGUAAGAGCUCGUAGGCGGUCUGUCGCGUCGGCUGUGAAAACCCGGGGCUCAACCCCGGGCCUGCAGUCGAUACGGGCAGACUAGAGUGCGGUAGGGGGAGACUGGAAUUCCUGGUGUAGCGGUGAAAAUGCGUAGAUAUCGGGAGGAACACCAAUGCGAAGGCAGCUCGCUGGGACGUUACUGACGCUGAGACGCGAAAGCGUGGGGA
rnacentral:rRNA from 1 species